rnacentral:rRNA from 1 species
GAUGCAACGCGAAAAACCUUACCUACCCUUGACAUGUCUGGAAUUCCGCAGAGAUGUGGAAGUGCCCGAAAGGGAGCCAGAACACAGGUGCUGCAUGGCUGUCGUCAGCUCGUGUCGUGAGAUGUUGGGUUAAGUCCCGCAACGAGCGCAACCCUUGUCAUUAGUUGCUACGAAAGGGCACUCUAAUGAGACUGCCGGUGACAAACCGGAGGAAGGUGGGGAUGACGUCAAGUCCUCAUGGCCCUUAUGGGUAGGGCUACACACGUCAUACAAUGGCUGGUACAGAGGGUUGCCAACCCGCGAGGGGGAGCUAAUCCCAGAAAACCGUCCUCAGUACGGAUUGCAGUCUGCAACUCGACUGCAUGAAGCUGGAAUCGCUAGUAAUCCCAGAUCAGCAUGCUGGGGUGAAUACGUUCCCGGGCCUUGUACACACCGCCCGUCACAUCACGAAAGUUGGUUGUACCGGAAGCCGGUGCGCUAACCCUUCGGGGAGGCAGCCGUCCAUGGUAUGCCCAGCGAUUGGGGUGAAGUCGUAACAAGGUAGCUGUAGGAGAACCUGCGGCUGGAUCACCUCCUAAUCUAGAUGCAUCGCGAGUCAGCC